GGAGAGUUGUCCGAGUGGUUGAAGGAGCACGCCUGGAAAGUGUGUAUAUCUCAAAAGGGUAUCGAGAGUUCGAAUCUCUCACUCUCCGCAA
rnacentral:tRNA from 1 species